GCCGGGUGCGGUGGCUCACGCCUGUAAUCCCAGCACUUUGGGAGGCUGAGGCAGGUGGAUCACUUGAGGUCAGGAGUUCGAGACCAGCCUGACCAACAUGGUGAAACCCUGUCUCUA
rnacentral:sRNA from 1 species